AGCUGCGUGGCGCAGCGGAAGCGCGCCGGGCUCAUACCCACGAGGAACCCGGAGGACCCUGGAUCGAAACCAGGCGCAGCUA